GAUAUCAACGAGUGCGCACCUGUCCCAUGUAAAAACGACGCCACGUGCAUCGACCUGUUGAACGCAUACUCGUGUACAUGCGCACCGGGCUGGCAGGGAACGAACUGUGACCAGGAUAUCAACGAGUGCGUACCUGCCUCUUGUAAGAACGGGGCAACGUGUUACAAUCUUCUGAACGCGUAUUCCUGCGCAUGCGUACCGGGCUGGCAGGGAUCGAUCUGUGACCAGGAUAUCAACGAGUGCGAACCUGACCCUUGUAAGAACGGCGCCACGUGUAGAAAUCUUCUAAACGCGUAUUCGUGCACAUGCGUAACGGGCUGGCAGGGCACAAACUGUGAAGAGGAUAUAAACGAAUGUGCACCUUCCCCUUGUAAAAACAACGCCACGUGCAACAACCUUCUGAACGGGUACUCGUGCACUUGCGCACCGGGCUGGCAGGAAACAAACUGUGAACAGGGUACAUUAUCUUAACCACAUAAACAUUCGAAAUAAAAUGAGAUACCAGACUGGAUCGUAGUGAAAAUACUUGUAUAUUUUCCAGACAUCGACGAAUGCCAGUCGGGUCCCUGUAAGAAUGGCGCCAAGUGCAGCGACCAUCUGAACGCGUACACGUGCACGUGU